UACGGAGGGGGCGAGUGUUGUUCGGAAUUACUGGGCGUAAAGCGCGUGUAGGCGGCUAUGUAAGUCGGGCGUGAAAUCCCACGGCUCAACCGUGGAAGUGCACCCGAAACUGCGUAGCUAGAGUCCUGGAGAGGAAGGUGGAAUGCUUGGUGUAGAGGUGAAAUUCGUAGAUAUCAAGCGGAACACCGGUGGCGAAGGCGGCCUUCUGGACAGUGACUGACGCUGAGACGCGAAAGCGUGGGGAGCAAACAGG
rnacentral:rRNA from 1 species